rnacentral:lncRNA from 1 species
UGAUGAACCACCCCUUUGAAAAAAACAUUAAAAGCAAUAUAAGGUCAAAACACAAAUCUCUCUCUGGAUUCUCAACGUACGAGCUUCAAACAUAUCUUCGCAACAGCAAGUUGGCUGAUCAACCGCUUCUGUAAUUCUUAGAUUUCAGAAUGUCUACAAUGGGAGAUGUGAGCAGUAGAUCUGUGAGAUGGGAUGAGGCAAAACUAUCAGAAAUCGAAGCCAAUAAACCUGUUAGGCAGAAAAUUACAGAACCAAAGACUCCUUUUCAUCGUAUGACUGAUGUUGAUGGAUCUCUGUCUCCUGUACGGAGUCCUUGUAUCUCUAAAACGGAUGAUGAAACCGUGCAUUCUGUGUUCAAUGACAUGGUUUCUUCCGAUAGUGACAAUAGCUCACAGCUGCCCUCUCGAUGGACAUCGUUAGAGGCAGAUGCUAUGGAUGAAGAUAAUGCAGGCAGGAGUUCGAGUUUCAAGGAGCAAAGGCGGGCACACUAUGACGAAUUUCGUAAAGUAAGGGAGCUUAUGCGAAAGGGAUCCUUAGACGAAUCAUCAAAUGAUGAUGAUGAGAAAUUCUAUGUGGACUGUGAGACGCCAUCAUCGUUGGCUGUUUGUGUGGGAGAUAUAGACAUUGCAAACGUUGACGAUCUAUCUGAAAAAUCCUCAUCCCCGGUCAAGUAGCUCGAGUCAGUGGCUUAGCUCACUAUUGAAUUUAUCCAUGUUCUUAAGUUUCAAACUUGUGUUGUAAAAAUGAGUGUUUGAAAGUUGUUAUCUAUUGAAUUUUCAACUUUCACAAAACUUCCUUAUUUGCAUGUAAUCUUUGAUUCUAAUAAUCCCAAGUUUCACUAAUUGGCCGGUAAUAAUCCCAACUUCA